CACUACAGUCCAUUGCGUGCUAGGAUUGCAGGCACACACUACAGUGCAUUGCGUGCUAGGAUUACAGGCACACAUUACAGUCCAUUGCAUGCUAGGAUUACAGGCACACACUACAGUCCAUUGCAUGCUAGGAUUACAGGCACACACUACAGUCCUUGCAUGCUAGGAUUGCAGGCACACACUACAGUCCUUGCAUGCUAGGAUUACAGGCACACACUACAGUCCAUUGCAUGCUAGGAUUACAG
rnacentral:lncRNA from 1 species